UGGGGAAUCUUGCGCAAUGCGCGAAAGCGUGACGCAGCAACGCCGCGUGGGGGAAGAAGGCCUUCGGGUUGUAAACCCCUUUCAGGAGGGACGAAGGCUCGGCGGUGAACAGCCGUCCGGGCUGACGGUACCUCCAGAAGAAGCCCCGGCUAACUACGUGCCAGCAGCCGCGGUAAUACGUAGGGGGCUAGCGUUGUCCGGAAUCAUUGGGCGUAAAGCGCGCGUAGGCGGCCCGGUAAGUCCGCUGUAAAAGUCCAGGGCUCAACCCUGGAAUGCCGGUGGAUACUGUCGGGCUCGAGUCCGGAAGAGGCGAGUGGAAUUCCUGGUGUAGCGGUGGAAUGCGCAGAUAUCAGGAGGAACACCCAUAGCGAAGGCAGCUCGCUGGGACGGUACUGACGCUGAGGCGCGAAAGCGUGGGGAGCGAACAGG
rnacentral:rRNA from 1 species